GUGCUCGCUUCGGCAGCACGUAUACUAAAAUUGGAACGAUACAAAGAAGAUUAGCAUGGCCCCUACGCAAGGAUGACGCACAAAUUCGUGAAGCGUUCCAUAAUUUU
rnacentral:snRNA from 1 species